UAUGUUCUAAACGAGCUAAGUUAGUAGUUAUUUUAUAAGCCGUGAGAAGAAAAAAAAAAAUUAGAGCAGCAGAGUCUCUGAGUCUGCCUCUGAGUUGUUGGAAUCUUCGAUGGGAAGAAAGAAAAAGUAUAAUAAGGUUAAGAAGGAGCAGGUGUUGUUGUGCUGGAGCUUUCCCCACCAUGGCUGGUACAAGCUCAACGUGGAUGGGAGCUACCGCAGUGGAUCUGGGUGCAUUGCAGGAGGUGGUGUGAUCAGAAAUCAAGAAGGAGAAUGGUUAUCUGGGUUUGCUGCAAAUUUGGGAACGGGCAAAGUUAUUGAGGCAGAGGUUUGGGCCUUAUACAGAGGCUUGGAGCUUGCUUGGAAAUCUGGGUUGGCCCCACUUGAGGUGGAAACUGACUCAACCACUGUUUUGAAGCUUAUGCAUAACCCAGUUGAGGUGAAUUGGAAACACCCUCAUUUUAACUUGAUCAAGAGCUGCCAGAAUCUCCUUAACCAAAGCUGGAUAUGUUCUCUGAAUCAUGCAUAUUGGCAGCAAAACAGUGUAGCUGAUUGUCUAGCUAAUUUUGGGUUGACUAUGGAGCGGGGGUGCCAUUAUUUUGAUGUUCCUCCACCUCUCUGUGAGCCUUUUUUAGUUCAGGAUAUCUCUAGGGUUGCUCAACCAAGGUUUCUUCCUCCCUCUGUCAUAGAAUACAGAAAAAUAAAGAAAUUGGAGGAAGUGGAUAUUCACAUGGAAGAUCUUGCAUCUGUUAUAUUCACAUGGAAAGUUGACAACUUCUCUAAGUUGGAUGCUGUCAAGCAUUACUCCGAUAUCUUCGUCAUCGGUGUUUUUGAAUGGCGAAUCCUUAUGUAUCCAAGGGGGAACAAUGUAGACUACUUGUCGGUUUAUCUGGAUGUUGCAGGUUCUUCAACAUUGCCAUUAGGGUGGGCUAGACAUGUGCGAUUCAGCUUGACCAUCGUUAAUCAACUUCAAAGCAGCGAGUCUUUAACAAAGGAUACUGAACAUGUGUUCAAUAAAAGUGACAGUAACUCGGGCUUCACAUCAUUAAUUCCUCUAAGUGAGUUUUGUGACCAUAGUAAAGGAUAUGUUGUGAAUGACACAUGUAUCAUUGAAGCCAAGGUUGCAGUCCAUAAGUCUGAAAUUAAGAUUUUAGAAGGAAAAAAACUCGUAGAAGCACGACGAGCAGGGACCUUCAAAUCUAAUCCUCUAAAAGUUCCAGAUUGAUCAGCAGCAAAUAAGGCACCAUGUUAUGACAAGGUGUCUGCCUUCCAGGAGGAACCAAGUUCUGAGAAGGUUUGCACCGAUAGCCCUGCUAAUCCUCCCAUUGUCAUGGAACAUGAGGAUGUGUCGUCCACACCAGCUGGGGAGCUCAUGGUUUUCAGGGGUUUAAGUGUAAAACAGAAAAGGCUUUUGCUCCGCUGCCUGAUGAAGUUUGUUCCUGGCAUCCUUCUUUAAUAGAAUUCCAAAAGAAGAGAAGUCACAUGUCUACUGAGUGGGCAUUCACAGCUUCAGCCCAACUCCUGCAUUUUUUGAAGAAUACAGAAAAGGUCAAGGAUAUGACAGAUCAUCUCUGAGCGCCUAAAACUUUUAUGGGAGGAGCUUGAGACCUGCAGGUUUGACUUGGCUUGGCUGGGGCCCCAUGUUCAUAGCGCUUUAGGUAUGAAGAAUUUUGUGGAAAGAGUAGGGCAACGGAAAAGACUGAGAGGUGGAUAUAGAUGCUUUGGAGAUUAAAACGAAGUGGCUAAAGGCUAAGCUAUUGCUUGCGGAGGUAAAUCUUGAGGUAGCAAUAAGAGAUCUACACACGGCUGAAUGAUGAGAUAAAUAUGGAUGGUGAGUUGGGUAAUGGGAUGUAGAAUUUUCCCUUGAAUUGCUGAAGAUAUGCAUUGUACGACACGUAAUGCAAAGUUUGACUGGAUUGUUCGGGGUCCCCUUUACUGGAGGCCACCUCUCCCCCACAGCAAUGCAGCUUAAGGCGUUAAUUGAUGUACUCAAACAGGCCAAGGUUGCUUUGCUUUGUGAAGCUGAAUGAGAAAAGGCCAGGACUUUAGCAUCUGGGCGGGGUAUUGGAGGAAGUUAAGACAAUUGAAGCACAGUUUUUGCACACCAUAUCUUUAGGUAGUUGUAACAUAGUUGCACAAAUCAGUCGGAAAAGCAUGCCUUUCGUUGUAAUCAAUCUUUUAUCUGGAUGGAGAAGGGGUAUUUGCUUGCUCCUUUGUGAUAUGUCGAAUGUAUUGAGAAACAUAUAAGACUACUAAUAAUGGUGCCCAGGAGCACGCAUACCAGUUCAA